rnacentral:snRNA from 1 species
GUGCUCACUUCCUCAGCACAUAUACUAAAAUUGGAAAGAUACAGAGAAGAUUAGCAUGGCCCCUGCACAAGGAUGACACACAAAUUUGUGAAGUGUUCCAUAUUAAA